CAGGGAGGAGAACGGUCCCUAAUCCCCUGGAGAUAACGGGCCUCAGCGACAGGUCCCCGUGAUUUAUUGUGCUUAAUGUACUUAUUUUUUAUUUGUCCCCUUCAGCACAGAGCUUUGGCACUGAAAAGAUUUGAUAAUGGCCUGCUUGCAGUCACUUAGACUCCAUACUAAAGCGCCUCAUUGCAUUCCCCCUCCGAUUUUACCAGUUGCGAUGGGAUGGACGAGAUAAAGCCAUCUUUGCUGGCUGAGCCUUUUCCUGUCAUGCCACCUGUCCCAACUCCGGAACCCGGCCUGCUUUCAUCUUGUGCUGCUUUGGGAUGGCAAGAAGAAACCCCUUAUUCUGUCUGCCUCCUGAUAGGUCCCUGAGACUCUGUUUUCCCGAACCACCCAUGAGCGUUGACUGCUUGCAGCUUUGUGGAUAAACACCAACGAGAAUAUAGAUGUGGGAGGUUUUCCAAAAGACUGGGCUUGAUGUAAAGGCCGUAGCAUGUUCGGAUCCCGGUGGCCAACUGUUUUGCCGAGAUGGGUGUGUCUCAUUCAGCGGUCAUGCCUGAGUCACCCUGAAGCUUCAUUCUGACUUCUGCCUGGGUUUUGGAGCCUGGGAACUGGAAGGCUCCAGGGGUGGGGCAUCUCAAAAGAUAGAAGCUCUUCCUGCAGAACCGCCCCUAACCUGCGAAGGUGUGGGCAGAGGACUUCAUGAUGCACAAGGCUGGGGAGAUGGCUGGAAAAGAGGCUCCCUUCUUUUCUGAUCCCAAGUUUCCUCCCGUGAGGACCUCUGCUGGAAUUCCGCCACCCCGUCUGGCUGGUGGGGAAGGGGCUCUGUUGUGUUGCAUGCAACCCUGGCUCUGUGGUGGUGCUGGGGGAGACUGCCGCUUUUUGCUGUCACUUGUCUGAAUACCAAGAGAGUGCCAGUGAGUAUCUAAUUAUAGAAAAUGCGAACAGCAGAACAGAAAAAGGCUUCUUUCAAAUGUAGGAUGAUAGCGGAAGUCAGGCGCACAGUCAGGGUGGGUCUUGGGGUGGGUGGUGUCCCUAGGACCCAGUAGGUGGGAUGCUGCCAACACUGUCAUGUCUGCACAUUCUAGCAGGGCACUGGCAUCUUGAGGGACAGGCGAUGCCCACGGUGUUACGUUGCUCUCGGUACUUGGGCACCGUUUACUCUCCCUCUUCUCCUGUCAAGUCCUAGCAGGGUCCCAAGCCACUCUGCUCCAGUAUAGGUACCCAUGGGCCUCAACAGUGUCCAUGGUACCAGCUGAUCCAGCUCUUCUACUUUUGGAUAUAUGCCCCACAGAAUCGAAAGUAGAGACUUGACUGGGUAUUGGAAUACCCCGGUUUCCACCAGCGUUACUCACCAAAGCAGAAGGCGAAAGCCACCUAGGUAUCCGUCAGUGGAUGAAUGGAACAACCCAGUAUGCAUAUACCCAUACACUGAGUGUUAUUCGGCCUUAAAAAAAGGAUUUUUCUGACACAUAAGCCAUCAUGGAUGAACCUUGGAGACAUCAUACCGAGGGAAGUAAGCUUGCCACAAAGGACAGGUAUUUAUGAUUCCCCUUAUUUGAGGUCCCCAGAGGAGUCAGAUUCAUAGAGACAGAAAGUAGGAUAGCUGUCUCCAGAGUCUGGGGAGCCAGUAUUUCAUGGGUACAGAGUUUCAGUUUGGGAGGAUGAAAAGAGUUCUGGAAAUGGGUGGUGGUGAUGGUUGCACAGCAGUGUGAAUGCACUUCACAUGGUAAAUUUUGUUCAGUAUAUUUUACCCUAAUGAAAAAUCAAGCGGUCCCCUGGGAUCCCCACAUGUCUGGAGGUCCAUGCUCUUAAACAGUUCUUUCCACUUGGGUGUGAGUGGGCAGGACUUGUGAUUUGCCUCAACAAUAGAAUAUAGCAGAGGCAAUGGGACAUUCCUCCUGUGGUUGCAUUUGCAGGCUGACUUGCUGUCGGGGCUCUUCUUGUUGUCAUGAGCCAGUUGAGCCAUGGCCAGCCUCCUGAACCAUGGAAACUGUGAGAUAAGGUGCUGUUUCAAGCCACCAACUUUGUGGUGAUUUGUUACGCAGCAGUUGCUAACUGAUACAGAGUCUCACAGGAGACUUCUGAAUAUUCCAGCCUUGUGUUCCACCCCAAGCACCUCAAGCAUCCAUCACUAUCACCCCUUCUUCUUGUCCAUUGGGAAUUUGUGCAUAACCUGUUUUUCUUUUCUCUGUUUAUGUUCAAAUACAUUUAUUGUGAGGGUCACAUCAUCCUGCUGGUUCCUGCCUGUUCUCUUACACUUUCUGGCUUUAGGGGUAUGUCCCAUCCCCUGUUGUCAGGAAGAACAGUGGCUUUUAGUGCAGUGACUGAGUCCUGAGACUCAGGGUACCACCUCUACCCACAUCUGCAGGUGAGCUUUCUUCUCCAUUUGCUGCUUGCUCACACAUGGUCCUAAACCCAGAUCUUGAAUCUCAGUCAGAAUGCUCACUACACAAAAUACAGGUAAUUGGAUUUUCUGGGGAUGGUGGCUCUUAUUUCAAAUAUUCUGCCUCAUUUGUUGUCCCCAUAAACUGUGAAGCUGUCCUGGAUAUUCUCUUUUGGUAUAACAACUCUUAAUGGACUGGCUCCCUUACAAUAAAUUAAUAAAAACCCAUGCCAUGUUGGGUACACCUGCUAUUGUUAGACACUUGGUCAUUGAUUCUCAUUGUGUCUUCCCACCAGCCCCACUGAGGUGGAUAUCACGGUGCCUGCUCUGCAGAGGCACACACCAAGAUGCUGUGAGGUUCAUUUUCUUCUCCAAGGUCACGUGGCACUGAUGUGUGUGUGUGCGUGUGUCAGAACCAGGAUUAGAACUCCGGAACUGUGCUCUAACUUACCUGGGCUCCCUGCCUUGGAAGAGUACAGGGGUAUUUCUGCCAGGUCCCCAUGUCCCAGCUUUGCUUGGAAAAAUAGUGUUGCUACACACAGGCCAGCUGGAGGUUCGGAUGAUUCCUUUCUGAUGGACCACAGUGGGACACAGUGGGGUUGGGGGUGUGGCCGCAGCUUUACAGUGAAGUCAGGAGGGGGACAGGUGAUCAGGAAUGGUGAGUCCAGCUGGGGCUGGCCGUCCUGGGAAGGGGGAGAGUGAGUGGUCCUCAGCCUUGGCCGUAGAGUAGAAUCAUCUGGGAAGCUUGCAUGACUACUGAUGCUGGGGCCCCUCUCCCGGAAAUAUUGAUUCAGCUGGUUUGGGGUGCAGCUUGGGCUCUGGGAUCCAAAACUUCCCAGGAGGGGAGUUCCCAUUGUGGUUCAGCAGGUUAAGGAACAGACUAGUCUCCAUGAGGAUGUGGGUUCAAUCCCUGGUCUCCCUCAGUGGGCUAAGGAUCUGACAUUGCUCUGAGCUGCGGUGUAGGUCACAGAUGCAGCUCAGAUCCUGUGUUGCUGUGGCUGUGGCGUAGGCCUCAGCUAUGGCUCCGAUUUGACCUCUAGCCUGGGAACUUCCAUGUGCCGCUGGUGCCG
rnacentral:lncRNA from 1 species